GGGGGGCGUCCGGCGGCCGCGCCCUCGCAGCUUCCGCUGGGCCCCUCCGGAAAUCCCGUAUCGUGGGGCGACGGCGGCGUAGAAAGUGCUUCCUGGAGCGCAGAAGAGGUCAUGAAUCAUGUGACGGUGGCUUGAGGAGGAACCUGUCUUUAAAGCUGUCCCUGAAGUGACAGCGGAGAGAACCAGGCAGCCCAGAAACCCCAGGCGUGGAGAUUGAUCCUGCGAGAGAAGGGGGUUCAUCAUGGCGGAUGACCUAAAGCGAUUCUUGUAUAAAAAGUUACCAAGUGUUGAAGGGCUCCAUGCCAUUGUUGUGUCAGAUAGAGAUGGAGUACCUGUUAUUAAAGUGGCAAAUGACAAUGCUCCAGAGCAUGCUUUGCGACCUGGUUUCUUAUCCACUUUUGCCCUUGCAACAGACCAAGGAAGCAAACUUGGACUUUCCAAAAAUAAAAGUAUCAUCUGUUACUAUAACACCUACCAGGUGGUUCAAUUUAAUCGUUUACCUUUGGUGGUGAGUUUCAUAGCUAGCAGCAGUGCCAAUACAGGACUAAUUGUCAGCCUAGAAAAGGAACUUGCUCCAUUGUUUGAAGAAUUGAGACAAGUUGUGGAAGUUUCUUAAUCUGACAGUGGUUUCAGUGUGUACCUUAUCUUCAUUAUAACAACACAAUAUCAAUCCAGCAAUCUUUAGACUACAAUAAUACUUUUAUCCAUGUGCUCAAGAAAGGGCCCCUUUUUCCAACUUAUACUAAAGAGCUAGCAUAUAGAUGUAAUUUAUAGAUAGAUCAGUUGCUAUAUUUUCUGGUGUAGGGUCUUUCUUAUUUAGUGAGAUCUAGGGAUGCCACAGAAAUGGUUCAGUCUAUCACAGCUCCCAUGGAGUUAGUCUGGUCACCAGAUAUGGAUGAGAGAUUCUAUUCAGUGGAUCAGAAUCAAACUGGUACAUCGAUCCACUUGAGCCGUUAAGUGCUCCCAGUUGUACAAUAUGCCCAGGCUUGCAGAAUAAAGCCAACUUUUUAUUGUGAAUAAUAAUAAGGACAUAUUUUUCUUCAGAUUAUGUUUUAUUUCUUUGCAUUGAGUGAGGAACAUAAAAUGGCUUGGUAAAAGUAAUAAAAUCAGUACAAUCACUAACUUUCCUUUGUACAUAUUAUUUUGCAGUAUAGAUGAAUAUUACUAAUCAGUUUGAUUAUUCUCAGAGGGUGCUGCUCUUUAAUGAAAAUGAAAAUUAUAGCUAAUGUUUUUUCCUCAAACUCUGCUUUCUGUAACCAAUCAGUGUUUUAAUGUUUGUGUGUUCUUUAUAAAAUUUAAAUACAAUUCGUUAUUCUGUUUCCAAUGUUAGUAUGUAUGUAAACAUGAUAGUACAGCCAUUUUUUUCAUAUGUGAGUAAAAAUAAAAUGGUAUUUUUAAAAAUAUAGUUUGAGCACUGUAUAGGUCCUUUUUUUGUUCAGACUUUUUCCAAAAAUCUAAACAUGAUUAAUAUACUCUUUCAGCCACAUGAAUAAAUAAUGAGUGUUUGUUGUAGGUAUUGGUUUGGAGAUUGUUUUAUGGUAGUAUGAACUGUUAACUGGAAAAGAAACCUGAGAUUGCAGUCAGCCAAGAUUGUGCCACUGCACCCCAGCCUGGGCAACAGAGACUCCGUCUCAAAAACAGAAAAGAAACCAAGAAACCUCAGGCAUGAACCUAAUUUAAUCUCCAGAGGUACUACAGUUCUAGAAUAUACCCUUUAUGUUCAGGAAUGCAGUCUAUCAUUCAGAGUUAAUUUCUUUCUAGGCUCUUUGACAAUCAAUUUUUCCCUGGAUCAGUUCAGUACAUAUGCAUUGAGCACCUGUGUGCCAGUCAGCAGAGCUAUCACAUUGCACAAUUCUAAGAAGCACCAUUCAUGUCUCAUCAUAUUUCUAUGCUCUGGGAGUUGCCUUUCACAUAGAAUAUGUGUGAUUGUUAUCCCUAGAAUUGUGCAGUGAGGCAAUUGGCUAGGUGCUGUGCUGCUUUUUCUUUCUUUUUUUUUUUUUUUAAGAGACAGAGUCUUGCUGUGUUGCCCAGUCUGGAGUGCAGUGGUGGCAUGAUCUUGCCUCAUUGUAACCUCUGCCUCCUGGGUUCAAGCUGUUCUCAUGCCCCAUUCUCCCUUGUAGCUGGGAUUACAGGCUUACACCAUCGCACUUGGCAAAUUUGUGUAUUUUUAGUAGAGACAGGAAUUCACCAUGUUGGCCAGGCUGGUCUUGAACUCCUGACUUAAAGUGAUCUACCUGCUUUGGCCUCCCAAAAUGCUAGGAUUAUAGGUGUGAGCCACUGCACCGGGCCAUGUGCUACUUUUUCUUCCUUCCAUCCUUCCUCCCUCCUUCCAGUGUAAAUAUGAGAUUAAUUUGUGAUACCUUCCUUUAAAGAACUUAGAGUUCAGUAAAGGAAGCAGGUAUAGAAAGUGCUAUGAUAAAGCUAUACAUAGGAUGGUAUAGAACCACAGACUAGGGGCACUUAAAAUGAGCAAGAAAAUAGCCUUUACAAAUAAAAUAGAGGCAAGAGAUAUAAUGCUUUACCUGCAAAGAGCUAUAAAUACAGCCAUGUACCAUAUAAUGAUGUUUCAGUUAGUGAAGGACCACAUACGAGGGUGGUCAGAACAGCAGGCUAUACCAUAUAGCCUAGGUGUGUAGUAGUAGGCUAUACCAUAUAGUCUAGGUGUGUAGUAGUAGGCUAUACCGUAUAGCCUAGGUGUGUAGUAGUAGGCUAUAUCGUAUAGCCUAGGUGUGUAGUAGUAGGCUAUACCAUCUGGGGUUCCUGUCAGUACAGUAUGAUGUUCACAUAAUGAUGAAAUCACCUAACAAAGCAUGUCUCGAAUCCACAUUGUUACAUAACACAUGACUGUAGUUAACUGUUACAAUUGAAAUACUAGAUGUACUCAUUGAAAUCCAGAAUUCCCAUUAUCUGGAUUAUUUAAUAUCGUUCAGGAAAUUUUUGCCAGUGCAAUGGUGCAUGAAACAAUGUCUUUUAGAAAUGAGGUGGCCAGAUUUCUAUUUGCAGGUAAUAAUUGUAUAUCUAAAAAUCCUAGAAAAAGAAAUGAUAACAAAUGGAGCUACUUAACCUUUGCAUGUUGAAUGCUGCCACUGUUAAAAUUUCUGAGGGGGUAUAAUAGAUAAACUAUCCCAUAGUUCAUCUGGAAAAAUAAGGUGGUGAAAAUUGCUAAGAAAUUUUUGAAAGAUAAUAUAAACCUAGAUUAACUGUUUUUGAAAGGUAGUACAGAACUGAAUGCACAACUAGAUAUCAAUGGUAUGUACUCACCCAGAAAAAAGACUUCAGUACAUACAUGUGAGGGCUUAAAACAUUGUUAUAAAGAUGGGAUCACAAUGGGAAAAGGAUUAUUCAAUAAGUAGGGCAGGCAUUCUCUAUGCCUGCUAGGGAAGUGUAACUUGUUAUACUCUUUAUGUACAGCAAUUGGCAGUCUGUGAAACUUUUAAAUUCAUAUACAUAACCUUUUGCCCUGCAAUUCCACUUCUAGAAAUUUAUCCUACCAAACAAAGCACAUAGAUGUGCAAAAGUAUGUAUUUACAAGUAUAUUCUUUGCAACUUGGUAAUGUCAAAGAAUUGGAAGCAACCUAAAUAUCUGCCAUAGGUAGGAUAACCAUAUGCUCUGGCUUUUUGAACACUACCAGUUUAUACCUGCUGUUCUUGGAUAAUUAUUAAUAGUGCUUUCAUUCUCAAUGUCUCACUUUAGAUAAUAAAUUACAGAGGAUUGGUGAAACAAAUUUAAUUUGCCCAAUGGAAAAAGGAAUGAAGAAGUGCUUUAGGUACUGAGAUGAAAGGAUCUCUAAGGCAUAAUAAUGUUUAUUGAGAAAAGCAUGGUGUCAAACUGUAUGGCAUGCUACAAUUGAUGUAUAAGAAGAAAAAAUGUGUAUGUAUUCCUAUUUGUUUGUAUAUGGUAGACUGUCUCUGAAGACAUACAUGGAAGAACCUGAUCACAUUGGUAGUCUCCAAGGAGCGGAACUAGAUACCUGGGGGAUAAGGAUCCCAGGAGUGAGCCUUUUCAUUGUAAACUUCAUUGUACUUUGAGUUUUUAACUGUUCAAAAAUAAUAAAAUUAGAAAUAAAAUAUUUCAACAAGCAAUAAAA